rnacentral:misc_RNA from 1 species
GCCUGCCGAGUAUUACUCUAACCGUUCGCGGAGGAGGGUGCCGAAGGCAGGGCUGAUGACUGGGGUGAAGUCGUAACAAGGUAGCCGUACCGGAAGGUGUGGCUGGAUCACCUCCUUUUAGGGAGACCGUUCCCCAAUCGAGUGAAGGAUGUAAGUAAGCCCGCUCGAUUGAGGUCAACCGAGGUCGGUCGAAGAGAAUGCGUCGUGUUUUCAAACGAACGAGGAACGGACUCCGGGGAGAAAUUCCCAACCUCAGAGUCGAGAACGUGGGCUAUUAGCUCAGGUGGUUAGAGCGCACUCCUGAUAAUGGGUGAGGUCCCUGGUUCAAGUCCAGGAUGGCCCACCUAACUCAGUCAGCAGUGAACGGCGAACAGCGAACAGUGAAAACUGAUGACUGUGGGCUGGUGACGGUUGACCGAACUUGUGGGGGUAUAGCUCAGUUGGUAGAGCGCCUGCUUUGCAAGCAGGAUGUCAGCGGUUCGAGUCCGCUUACCUCCACCUCGUCUCGAAACUCAAAUCCCAAGAGCGAGAGUCUCCAGCACCUGAGAAAGCUCAGACUGCUGGACUUCGAGUCCAGUGAGAACCUUGAAAACUGCAUAGUCAUCAAAACAAUCCUAAGAAAAGCCGAGACCUCGAGUGAUGAGUCAAGAACCAGUUC